CUCCUGGUUGCCUCUACGUCAAACACAGAAAGGUUAUCGCAGAGAGCAGGAGCAUGUCAGCAGCACCUUGGAGCAACUGCUGAACUCCGGCCCUGGAAUCACAGCCCAGACAGAUGAACUCCAUGGAGAACUGAGGAAGUACUCUGGAAGACAGCAGUGGGGAAAGCAGUUCACAAGCAGUAUUUUUACAAGAGAGAAAACUUUUCCAUGGCGUAAGUGUUGGUUGAUUACUGCUUUCUUAAGUGCUUCUAGCACUGGGCAAAAAAUCCUACAAAGUGUAAUGAUGUUUCAAAUGACUGCAUACUGACCCAAAAGGGCUUCAGUUACUGGAUGACUACUUUUAUUUCCCUUCAGAGGCAAUUCCUGGCUGGCUCAGUGCCCCAUCUACACACCCUUCCCUUCACUUCAUGCCUCUCCCAUGCAGGCAAGACCUGCUGCAUUGAUUUAAAUAAUGAAAAUGAUAUCUCUUGAAGGAAGAAUCUUCUCAGAAAUUACAAUUCAGCUUCUUCUUCCUGUGAAGCUUGUUACAUGAAUAAUGCAUUUCAUAAAAAAAUACACAAGAUAUUAAAUGAAUCUUCAAGAGAGGCUGA